GACGAACGCUGGCGGCGUGCCUAAUACAUGCAAGUUGAGCGCUGAAGGUUGGUACUUGUACCAACUGGAUGAGCAGCGAACGGGUGAGUAACGCGUGGGGAAUCUGCCUUUGAGCGGGGGACAACAUUUGGAAACGAAUGCUAAUACCGCAUAAAAACUUUAAACACAAGUUUUAAGUUUGAAAGAUGCAAUUGCAUCACUCAAAGAUGAUCCCGCGUUGUAUUAGCUAGUUGGUGAGGUAAAGGCUCACCAAGGCGAUGAUACAUAGCCGACCUGAGAGGGUGAUCGGCCACAUUGGGACUGAGACACGGCCCAAACUCCUACGGGAGGAAGCAGUAGGGAAUCUUCGGCAAUGGACGAAAGUCUGACCGAGCAACGCCGCGUGAGUGAAGAAGGUUGUCGGAUCGAAAAACUCUGUUGGUAGAGAAGAACGUUGGUGAGAGUGGAAAGCUCAUCAAGUGACGGUAACUACCCAGAAAGGGACGGCUAACUACGUG
rnacentral:rRNA from 1 species